rnacentral:rRNA from 1 species
CACGUAGGGGGCGAGCGUUGUCCGGAUUUAUUGGGCGUAAAGAGCUCGUAGGCGGUUUGUCGCGUCUGCUGUGAAAACCUGAGGCUCAACCUCGGGCUUGCAGUGGGUACGGGCAGACUAGAGUGCGGUAGGGGUGACUGGAAUUCCUGGUGUAGCGGUGGAAUGCGCAGAUAUCAGGAGGAACACCGAUGGCGAAGGCAGGUCACUGGGCCGCAACUGACGCUGGAGGCGACGAAAGCGUGGGGAGCAAACAGG